rnacentral:misc_RNA from 1 species
AAGUCGUAACAAGGUUUCCGUAGGUGAACCUGCGGAAGGAUCAUUACAAAUCCAUCACGUCUCCUUAUCCGAGACCACGUUGAAAUGUUCCCCAGCAGCGUGAGCGAGGCAGCUUGUCUGUCUGUGUCGCACUGCUGGGCUGAUAAACUAGUGUUUCCUUGUUGCUCAAUUGUAUGCUUGUGCACGGGUGCGCAUCGGUGACGGUGUUGCUGCUCUGGUCACAUGAAAACAACUUAGUACAACUUAUAACAAUGGAUCUCUAGGCUCUU